rnacentral:rRNA from 1 species
ACGUAGGCAGCGAGCGUUGUUCGGAGUUACUGGGCGUAAAGGGUGUGUAGGCGGUUGGUUAAGUUUGGUGUGAAAUCUCCCGGCUCAACUGGGAGGGUGCGCCGAAUACUGAAUGACUUGGAGUGCGGGAGAGGAAAGUGGAAUUCCUGGUGUAGCGGUGAAAUGCGUAGAUAUCUGGAGGAACACCGGUGGCGAAGGCGGCAUCCUGGACCGGCAUUGACGCUGAGGCGCGAAAGCCAGGGGAGCAAACGGGA